rnacentral:rRNA from 1 species
CCUACGGGCGGCAGCAGUGAGGAAUAUUGGUCAAUGGACGAGAGUCUGAACCAGCCAAGUAGCGUGAAGGAUGACUGCCCUAUGGGUUGUAAACUUCUUUUAUAUGGGAAUAAAAUGUUCCACGUGUGGGAUUUUGUAUGUACCAUAUGAAUAAGGAUCGGGUAACUCCGUGCCAGCAGCCGCGGUAAUACGGAGGAUCCGGGCGUUAUCCGGAUUUAUUGGGUUUAAAGGGAGCGUAGGUGGAUUGUUAAGUCAGUUGUGAAAGUUUGCGGCUCAACCGUAAAAUUGCAGUUGAAACUGGCAGUCUGGAGUGCAGUAGAGGUGGGCGGAAUUCGUGGUGUAGCGGUGAAAUGCGUAGAUAUCACGAAGAACUCCGAUGGCGAAGGCAGCUCACUGGACUGCAACUGACGCUGAGGCUCGAAAGUGUGGGUAUCAAACAGGAUUAGAUACCCCGGUAGUC